GACAUAUCUAGAAUCCUGCAGAGAUGCGGGAGUGCCUUCGGGAAUUAGAAUACAGGUGCUGCAUGGCUGUCGUCAGCUCGUGUCGUGAGAUGUUGGGUUAAGUCCCGCAACGAGCGCAACCCUUGUCCUUAGUUACCAGCGGUUUGGCCGGGAACUCUAUGGAUACUGCCAGUGACAAACUGGAGGAAGGCGGGGACGACGUCAAGUCAUCAUGGCCCUUACGACCAGGGCUACACACGUGCUACAAUGGUAGGUACAGAGGGCAGCUACACAGGGAUGUGAUGCGAAUCUCAAAAAGCCUAUCGUAGUCCAGAUUGGAGUCUGCAACUCGACUCCAUGAAGUAGGAAUCGCUAGUAAUC
rnacentral:rRNA from 1 species